AGUCGGGAAUUUUGGGCAAUGGGCGAAAGCCUGACCCAGCAACGCCGCGUGAAGGAUGAAGUAUUUCGGUAUGUAAACUUCGAAAGAAUGGGAAGAAUAAAUGACGGUACCAUUUAUAAGCUCCGGCUAACUACGUGCCAGCAGCCGCGGUAAUACGUAGGGAGCAAGCGUUGUUCGGAUUUACUGGGCGUAAAGGGCGCGUAGGCGGCGCUGUAAGUCAGCUGUGAAAUCUCCGAGCUUAACUCGGAACGGCCAGCUGAUACUGCAGUGCUAGAGUGCAGAAAGGGCAAUCGGAAUUCUUGGUGUAGCGGUGAAAUGCGUAGAUAUCAAGAGGAACACCUGAGGCGAAGGCGGGUUGCUAGGCUGACACUGACGCUGAGGCGCGAAAGCCAGGGGAGCAAA
rnacentral:rRNA from 1 species